UAGGUAUAAUUUUAAACUUUCCUUCCCAGUGCCAUGGUAACUGCCGCAUGUUUGGCAAAAAGCUCCCGAAGAAGAAAAGGAACUCAGAGCACUCAGCUGGCAGGCAUCCAGUGUAAUCAGGCUGCAGAGCUGAAAUGAGGCCUCUGGCCGCCAGCCAAGUUACAAAGAACAAAGAUGUCAGUUCCUAAUGUUGGCGGCAAAGCUUGUUUGGCACCCUUAUAUGGUUUCCCAGAACUCCUUGCCUUGGCUGCUUUCCAUUCCCUUUAGGGCAGCAAACAGGAUUAGCACACACAGACUUGUUUUCUCUUUCUCCACCAACUGUUCCAAUGACAUCAUCCCUGCAUUCAUUUGCCAGCAGAGUGACUCUGGCUCCCUUUACACUCUUUGACAUCCCCUCCUCCUCCUCCAAACCCUUUAGUAUUUUAGCUUAUUUCCUCUCAGCUAAUGGAAAACUUGGAGAAAGCCCCCAGGUGCCAAAUAAAGGGGGAAUCGAAUGGGAAUGAGACAUUUCUAUACCUAAGCAAAUCAAGACCCUGUUAAAUGUAUUAGACCGGGCGGGGCAAAUAUUAUGCCAGAGUUAAAAGGACAGGGCUAUCUGCCAUUCCACAUCUGAGAAAGGAUCAUGUUGGACAUGAGUCAGAACUAAUGAAUAUGGAAAACCUAUGGCCAGCUUCAUGUUUUGAUUUCAUCAGCUUCAGAGUGAAACAAAUUAGUCAAGAGGCCAGAGGCGCAAGCCAGCUGAGGGAUUUUUUGUUGUUUUGGCAAGUCAUGCUCAUAAGAGGACAUCCCAUUCCCCCGCCCACCAUUCAGCAAGAAGGAAGGAAUGUGAAUUUCAUCUGCAUGGUACAAAAACUGUCAAUAGAACCUGAUCCUAUGA